rnacentral:rRNA from 1 species
AUGUACUGGAAAGUGCAUAAAUUAAUAAAUAUAUAAAUAAUAAAAGGUAAAAUUAAAAUGUUAUUAUAUAUGUGAAUGAAAUUAUAAUUGAAGCUAAUAAAAUUUAGUAAUAAACUAGGAUUAGAUACCCUAUUAUUCUAAAUAAGUUAAAUUUGAACUAAAUUAGUAAAAGAUAAAUACUUAAAAUUUAAAAAAUUUGGCGGCAAUUUAAUCUUUUCAGAGGAACCUGUUUUGUAAUCGAUAAACCACGUAAAAUCUUACUUGAUUUUGUUAAUUUCAGUUUGUAUACCUUCAUUAUCAGAUAAUUCUUAAAAGAUAAAUUAUUAAGUUUAAUAAUUUAAAAAAAUUAGAUCAAGGUGCAGUUUAUAAUCAAGGUAAAAUGGGUUACAAUAAAUUAUUUUAUUGCGAAUUAAUUGAUAUAAUGUUAUUAUGAAGAAGGAUUUGAUUGUAUUUAUAGUUUAAUAAGCUAUAAAGAUAUAAGUUCUAAAUUGUGUACAUAUCGCCCGUCGCUUUCAUUUAUAAGUGAAAUAAGUCGUAACAUA